UACGAAGGGUGCAAGCGUUACUCGGAAUUACUGGGCGUAAAGCGUGCGUAGGUGGUUUGUUAAGUCUGUUGUGAAAGCCCCGGGCUCAACCUGGGAAUGGCAAUGGAUACUGGCAAGCUAGAGUGCGGUAGAGGGUAGUGGAAUUCCCGGUGUAGCGGUGAAAUGCGUAGAGAUCGGGAGGAACACCAGUGGCGAAGGCGGCUACCUGGACCAGCACUGACACUGAGGUACGAAAGCGUGGGGAGCAAACAGG
rnacentral:rRNA from 1 species